CCUGGUUGAUCCUACCAAAAGCAAAUGCUUGUCUCAAAGUUUAAGCCAUGCACGUGUAAGUACACAUGGUUGGUCCAGUGAAACUGUGAAUGGCUCAUUUAAUCAGUCAUGGUGACUUUGAUCACCCCACCUAUCACUUGGACAACUGGGGUAAUUCUACAGCUAAUACAUAUUGAGGAGUGCUGAUCUCCAGAGAUACAUGCAUUCAUCAGACCAAGACCAAUCCAGGCCCGCCUGGCUGCUUUGGUGACUCUAGAUGGCCACAUGCCGAUUUCACUUCCCUGUCAUGGUGACGAUACAUUUGAAUGCCAACUUUUGAUGUUACUUUCUAUGUGUACCACGGUGACCACGGAUAACAGGGAAUCAGAGUUCAAUUCCAGAGAGGGAGUCUGAGAUACAGCUAACACAUACAAGGAAGGCAGAAUGCACAGAAAUUACCCACUCUCGACUCAGGGAGAUAGUGACAGAAAAUAACAAUAUAGGACUCUCUCGAGGCCCAGCAAUUGGAAUGAGUGCGCUUUCAAUCCUUUAACAAGGAACAGUUGUAGGGCAAGUCUGGUGCCAACAGCCAUGGUAAUUCAAGGUCCAAUAGAGGAUGUCAAUGUUGCUGCAAUUUAAAAGCUCAUAGUUGUAUUUUGGGAUUCAGCUGGUUAUCUGCCACAAGCGACCUACCGCCUGUCCAAGCCCCUGCCUCUCUGCACCCCUUGUUGCUCUCGACUGACUCUCCUGGGGGUCCAGAGUGUCCACUUUGAAAAAAAUAGAGUGUUAAAAGCAGGCCAGUCACCUGAAUACUUCAGCUAGGAAUAAUGGAAUAGGACUCCGGUUCUAUUUUGUUGGUUUUCGGAACUGGGCCAUGAUUAAGAGGGACGGCCGGGGGCAUUCGUAUAGUGCCGCUAGAGGUGAAAUAGUUGGACCGUUGCAAGACAAACCUGAGCAAAACCAUUUCCAAUAAUUUUCAUUACUCAACAACGAAAGUCAGAGGUUUGAAGACGAUCAGAUACGUCGUAGUUCCGACCAUAAACGAUGCCGACUAGCGAUCCGGCGGCGUUAUUCCCAUGACCGCCGAGCAGCUUCCGGGAAACCAAAGUCUUUGGGUCCGGGGGGAGUAUGGUUGCAAAGCUGAAACUUAAAGGAAUUGACGGAAGGGCACCACCAGGAGUGGAGCCUGCGGCUUAAUUUGACUCAACACGGGAAACAACACCUGGCCCAGCAAGGAUUAACAGAUGGAUAGCUCUUUCUCGAUUCUGUGGGUGGUGGUGCAUGGCAGUUCUUAGUUGGUGGAGCGAUUUGUCUGGUUAAUUCAGUAAGAAAUGUAUUUCCUCCAUGCUAACUAGUUACGCGACCCUCAGCUGUUGGCGUUCAACUUCUGGUGUUUAGCCACACGAGAUCGAGCAAUAACUGGUCUGUGAUGCCCUUAGUGUUCCUGAGAUGCAUAUGCACUACACUGAAUGGAUCAGCGUGUUUCAACCCACGGUAACCUGCUGAACGUUGUUUGUGAUAGAGAUUGGGUAUUGCAAUUAUUUCCCAUGAACAAGGAAUUCCCAGUAAGUGUGGGUCAUAAGCCAGCGUUGAUUACUCCCUGCCAUUUGUACACAUCGCCUGUCGCUACUACUUAUUGUAUGGUUUUGUGAGGUUCUUGGAUUGGCAACAAUGGCGUCAGCAACAGCCCUGGCGGAGUGCCAAGAAGAUGAUCAAACUGGACUAUCUUGAGGAUGUCAAAGACGUAGCAAUAUUUCUGUAGGUGCACCUGUGAAAG
rnacentral:rRNA from 1 species